CCAAACCAUUCGAAAACCAAGAGUAUUGAUCCAAGGCAAAAUUGAAUUUCGGAGGAUAUUUAAUCAUCUCAAAGCAAUAAAAACAAGAGUGUUGUCAAAGAAAAACUUGAUUUUAUAGAGUAUUUAAAAUCAGCUCAAGCACAAGAAAAAACAGGAAUAUUGAUAAAAGAAAAGCUUGGUUUUAAACAGUAUGCAUCGCCACCAAGAUUUGCUUAAAAUAGGGAUUAAAGCCUCCGUCAGGCAACUAAGUGUCCAUGACCUCAAACUAUUAAAAAACUUGAUGUUAAAAGGGUAUUUUAUAGAGGUUUAAGUACCUGGAACGAAAGUGGUUUUCGCAACAGUUCCGACCCCACCAUCACCUUUCAAAACCUGAGUGCUCUGGACAUUUGGAAGCUUAGGAACAAUAAUAUUUAUGAGGCCAAGGUUCCUAUAAAGUUCCCAAGCUUCAUAUGCAGGCGCAUUCACUUCAAGCUCCUUCGUAAUAUGCUUCAAUUCCCGAGAAUUAACCCCAACGUAGCAAGCAAACAGAACAAAGAAAACCAAUGAGAAUUGCUUCAGCAUUUUUUUUCUUUGGAAUUUUGCUAGCUUUAAAC
rnacentral:lncRNA from 1 species